AGGUACACACACACACACACACACACACACAUAUAUAUGUGUGUGUGUGUGUGUGUGUAGGUACACACACACACACAUAUAUAUGUGUGUGUGUGUGUGUGUAUGUGUGUGUGUGUGUGUAGGUACACACACACACACAUAUAUAUGUGUGUGUGUGUGUUGUGUGUGUGUGUGUGUA